rnacentral:snRNA from 1 species
GUGUUCGCUUCAGCAGCACAUAUACAACUGGAACAAUAAAGAGAUUAGCACAUGCCCUGUGAAAGGAUGACAUGCAAAUUCAUGAAGCAGUCCACAUUUAG